CAGCCGCCGCGGGAAUACGUAGGUCCCGAGCGUUGUCCGGAUUUAUUGGGCGUAAAGCGAGCGCAGGCGGUUAGAUAAGUCUGAAGUUAAAGGCUGUGGCUUAACCAUAGUUCGCUCUGGAAACUGUCAAACUUGAGUGCAGAGGGGAGAGUGGAAUUCCAUGUGUAGCGGUGAAAUGCGUAGAUAUAUGGAGGAACACCGGUGGCGAAAGCGGCUCUCUGGCUUGUAACUGACGCUGAGGCUCGAAAGCGUGGGGAGCAAACAGGAUUAGAGACCCCUGUAGUCCCUGUCUCUUAUACAC
rnacentral:rRNA from 1 species